AUUAGACGAAUCAUCUGGAAAGAUGAAUCAAAGAAGGUAAUAAUCCUGUAGUCGAAAAUGUUGUCUCUCUUGAGUGGAUCCUGAGUACGACGGAGCACGUGAAAUUCCGUCGGAAUCUGGGAGGACCAUCUCCUAAGGCUAAAUACUCUCUAGUGACCGAUAGUGAACCAGUACCGUGAGGGAAAGGUGAAAAGCACCCCGGAAGGGGAGUGAAAUAGAACCUGAAACCGUGUGCUUACAAGUAGUCAGAGCCCGUUAAUGGGUGAUGGCGUGCCUUUUGUAGAAUGAACCGGCGAGUUACGAUUUGAUGCAAGGUUAAGCAGUAAAUGUGGAGCCGUAGCGAAAGCGAGUCUGAAUAGGGCGUUUAGUAUUUGGUCGUAGACCCGAAACCAGGUGAUCUACCCUUGGUCAGGUUGAAGUUCAGGUAACACUGAAUGGAGGACCGAACCGACUUACGUUGAAAAGUGAGCGGAUGAACUGAGGGUAGCGGAGAAAUUCCAAUCGAACCUGGAGAUAGCUGGUUCUCUCCGAAAUAGCUUUAGGGCUAGCCUCAAGUGAUGAUUAUUGGAGGUAGAGCACUGUUUGGACGAGGGGCCCCUCUCGGGUUACCGAAUUCAGACAAACUCCGAAUGCCAAUUAAUUUAACUUGGGAGUCAGAACAUGGGUGAUAAGGUCCGUGUUCGAAAGGGAAACAGCCCAGACCACCAGCUAAGGUCCCAAAAUAUAUGUUAAGUGGAAAAGGAUGUGGCGUUGCCCAGACAACUAGGAUGUUGGCUUAGAAGCAGCCAUCAUUUAAAGAGUGCGUAAUAGCUCACUAGUCGAGUGACACUGCGCCGAAAAUGUACCGGGGCUAAACAUAUUACCGAAGCUGUGGAUUGUCCUUUGGACAAUGGUAGGAGAGCGUUCUAAGGGCGUUGAAGCAUGAUCGUAAGGACAUGUGGAGCGCUUAGAAGUGAGAAUGCCGGUGUGAGUAGCGAAAGACGGGUGA
rnacentral:rRNA from 1 species